GACAGAGGGUGCAAACGUUGUUCGGAAUGACUGGGUGUAAAGCGCGUGUAGGCGGCUUUGCAAGUCGGGUGUGAAAGCCCUCAGCUCAACUGAGGAAGUGCGCCCGAAACUGCAGAGCUUGAGUACCGGAGAGGAUGGCGGAAUUCCCCAAGUAGAGGUGAAAUUCGUAGAUAUGGGGAGGAACACCGGUGGCGAAGGCGGCCAUCUGGACGGAUACUGACGCUGAGACGCGAAAGCGUGGGGAGCAAACAGG
rnacentral:rRNA from 1 species